UGCGUAGGCGGACUAAUAAGUCAGUGGUGAAAUCUUUCGGCUCAACCGAGAAACUGCCAUUGAUACUGUUAGUCUUGAGUUCGGUUGAGGUAGGCGGAAUGUGUAAUGUAGCGGUGAAAUGCUUAGAUAUUACACAGAAGACCAAUUGCGUAGGCAGCUUACUAGACCGACACUGACGCUGAGGCACGAAAGCGUGGGGAGCGAACAGGAUUAGAUACCCUGGUAGUCC
rnacentral:rRNA from 1 species